ACCCGAGUAACAAGAGAAAUGACUCAGUCUGUGGAGUGUAUGAUUCCACGGAUGGCAGAAAGCCAGCUCUGUUUUCCUUACACCUCAUGGGCUCCUUGCUUCCCGUGGUCAAAAUCUUUUGUUCGCGGCACAUCCAUCCCUGACCCUGAGCGGUAGGACCCUGGCGGGCCCCGUGUUCUGCUUGCAGAGGGCGCCAGGACACUGUGCAGACAGACAGACAUGCCCUGCCUGAGUCCUUGCAUCAGAGCUGAUUCCUGCUGAAGGGAAUCCAGAGUGAUGCCAAGUAUUUAGUGACGGGUAGCCAAGGCCAAGGAAUCCAGGUGGGCAGGGAGAGGGAGGAAGGGGCCAGUGGGGUGCGUCACGGAAUGGAAUAUUCGCCCUCGGGGUCCCUCCGUUUCCCCGAGGAUGCAGACUCUGAUGGGUGAGGAAAGCCAUCUCAGGCUGGCCCCGGGGUCACCCACAGCAGCAGGUCCCCAGCCUGCCAUAUGCCCCUACCACGUACCGCAGCCUCUGGGGCUCUGGGGCACAGCCGUGUGCUUCCCGAUGAACUGGGCAUCACCGAACCAAGAAGGCUCUUCCAGGAUCGCCCUCCCGGAGGCGCUCUGGUCCCCCCCAGUCGAAUGCGAUGGAGGGUGACGUCUGUUCACAGAGAGGAAGCUCGAGGUCAGGGAGGGCGUGAGACCAGGCUCCGACCCGGCCUGGGGGCUCUUCCUGCGUGGCCAUCCUGUGUUCGUUCUUAGGCAUUUCCGGGAAGAGGGUCCCGGCCCAGGAGCAGGAGCCACCGCGGACCGUGUGGUCUGGGGACGCAUUGAGCAAAGAGCGAGGGCUCGGGUCUCUUCUCUCCACCCUCGGGCCUCUCCUCAUGGCCCUUCCAAGACAAAAAUGACCCUUUGCAGACGGGGAGGGGGGAUGCUUCUAUGUCCAGGGGGCAGGCGGACCUGGUGUCCCUGCAGGAGCCGUGGCAGAGCAGGCGUCACUGGCAGCUCAGUGUCCUUGUCCUUGGGGGCCGCGGGCGAGCUCGGGAACAAGAGGGUGAAGGAUAAUAGCCACUGGUCUCCACUGGGAGACGUGACGUGCCAGGUCCUUGGAGCUACAGCUUGGUUCUCUUUCGGUGGGUUUCAAACAGUGCAGGUGGCCUUUCUUUAGAUGGUGGCUGUUAUGCCCACAAAUCUAAUGCCGUCUGGGCAUGGGUUCAUUCGUGUGGUUUUAAAAGCUCUAGCGCGGAGUAGAGCUUAAGGCAACGUGUCCAUACCGCUUCGGUUAAGAGACAAGUUCUAUCCAGUAUUUUGAGAUGAAAAAGUUACAGAGAUCGGUGGCAGAACCAUCUGAUUAUAUGCUUAAUAUCACUAAACUGCGCACUUAUAAAUGGCCAAGAAUGUGAAUGUAAUGCUGUAUUUUUAACACUACAAAAAAGGGAGUUAACGUUUAAAGCCUAAAUAAGUUGUUAAUUGAUCUGCUUUGUACCUGCGUAGCUGCACCCUUGGAGCUUGUCAAGUCCCGGGCUCCUGUGCCGAUGUCUGCCUGGCCACCCCCCACCCCCACCACGUCCCUCUCUCCCGCCUCCUUCCUCCCGAGCCCCUGGUCCCAACCACACGUGCUGGGAGGGGCGGCUGCCUCCUUCGAACCCAGCUAAUGCAACGCGAACGUCGCACCUGCUGUUCCACCGUCCACGGAAACCCCCGUUCCUCUCAGCUGCCCAGCCAGGCCUGUCCCCACUGAGCCAGGUGUGAGCAUCCUUGGGUCUGCGGAGGCGUGCAGGAUCCCAUCCGUGUCACCAUGACAACGCUGGAUGUUGUUUUGAACCCGAGCCCAGAGUGUGUGGUUUUAGGCUGUGUCCAGUGCUGUCCAGUCCGACUCCCAGGCCCUCAGGACACACAGGAGCCCAGGAGGCCUGGCCUCUCAUUCCGUGGCCUCUAGGGGUCAGGGACGCUCUGGGUGGUCAGGGGUCAGCUCGGGGUCGCAUUCUCUGAGGUGCUUCUUGGCCGCCGUCCCUUCCCUGUGUGCCCAGAGGGUCCCCCUCUCCCGGGAUAAUUUGCACUGUGUGUGUCCCUUGCUCUGACGUCAUUCCCGACCCCCGUCCCCCAGUCGCCUGGGAAGCAGGAGGAGCUAACAGUUACGGGGGGUGGGGGGACUUCCUCCUGCCCAGGCCCAGGAGGGACCCAGGAUAAAGGAGAUGGUGGGGUGAGGGCCCGUGAGCCUGGGCCCAGGGCCCCUGGUCACGUUGCCAUGAAGGACUCUGCUCUCCAUGUGCUGCCACAGGCAAAGGUGGACUUUUCCCCCAGGGAGCUCCAGUCAUUGCAUGAGAGGUCAGAAACGAGGUGCCCGGAGCGCCCUAGUGGCACCACGGGCUAAGGAUCUGGCAGGUCACUGCUGUGGCUCAGGUUGUUGCUGUGGCGCCUGUUCUAUCCCUGGUGGCCUGGGAAUGUCCACGUGUGGUGGGCGUGGCCAAAAAAAAGAAAGAUCUAAAGAGUAGCUGCUUGCUACUAAAAAUCAUAAAAAAGUAAAGUGAGUUUCCUGCCCAGAGGUCAGGGCUGGCCACGCCUCCCUCUUGCCCCCUGACACGGACGUUUUAGGACAGUGAAGAGUGGUGGACUGGACCCCCACCCCCACACGUGCACAUUUAGUGGCAGAGUCAGCUUGCUGCGCCACAGGCUGUUCUGUGCCCAUUGAAUCUGGAAGAGACUGCAAGAUGAGAAAUACAAGGUCACCGUUGGAAGCUGUUGUUGCGACUACUCACUUUUGUGGCAUCAAAGCGCGUUUUAAAUCUGAGAGUUGGUGAACCACUUCCUUGUGCUCCAGCGACCCUCAUUUCACAGACUGGCCAGUUCGGUGUCUCUCUGGACAUCCCUGAAAGGCCUAGGGGGUGUGGACGCGGGAGGUGCCAUCUGGCCCUGGAGGCCUCUCCGGCCUGCUCUGGGCCGCCUGGGCUGGCCUGCAGCAGUGCUUCUCCUCCCUCUCAGGCCCACGGUCCUGUUUGCAAAACAGCUAUUUUCCGAUACCAUCUCAGUAUCCUGAAAUCGAAGUCAUAGCUGACGUAAGCUACCUAAACACAUAUUUUUAGAAGAUCUCCAUAAUACCCUAGCACUCUCAGUAAAGGAUACAUGAAGAGAAAGCAGUUGGAGUUCCCACUGUGGCUCAGUGGGUUAGGGACCUGACAUAGUGUACGUGAGCAUGUGGGUUCCAUCCCUGGCCUCGCUCAGUGGGUUAAGGAUCUGGUGUUGUUGCAGGCUGCAGUGUAGGUCGAAGAUGUGGCUUGGAUCCACUGUUGGUGCAACUGCGGUGUAGGCUGGCAGCUGCAGCUCCAAUUCGACCCCUGGCCCAGGAAAUUUCCAUACGCUGCGGGUGCAGCCAUAGAAAGAAAGCAGUUAAGCAAUUCGCGAUAGAAUAAUGUGCAUCUCCAGAUGAAAACCCUUGGGCAGGUCACCCUCGGGAAUAAAAACCACAGCCUCCCACCUCGAUCUUUUUUAUUGUGAGAAAAUGCACCUUAAGUAAAAUUUACUAUUUUAACCAUUUCGAAGUACGCAAUUAAAUGGCAUUAAAUACCUUCCCAAUGUUAUGCCACCAUCACCGCUACCUGAUUUGUUGUCAUUUCAAAAGGAGACCUGUGCCCACUGGCAGUCACCCUGUUCCACUCCCCUGAGGCCCCGGCAGCCCCUAAUCUGCUUUCUCUCUCUAGGGAUUUGCCUCUUCUGGGCGUUUCCCAUACAUGGAAGUGGAGCCUCUUUUUUCUCAGCGAAUGGCUCUGCAGGCACAUCUGUGUUGUAGUUUAAGGCUGAGAGAGGGCGCCCCAGAGGCGGAGGCUGCUCCCACCAGCAUCUUCAUCACUCUACCUGCAGACUAGGAAUUUCUUUCUUUCUUUCUUUUUUUUGUCUUUUUGGGGCCGUACCUGCAGCAUAUGGAGGUUCCCAGGCCAGGGGUUCAGUCGGAGCUGUAGCUGCCGGCCUACGCCAGAGCCACAGCAACACCAGAUCCAAGCUGCAUCUGCGACCUACGCCCCAGCUCAUAGCAACGCCGGAUCCUUAACCCACUGAGUGAGGCCAGGGAUUGAACCUGCGUCCUCAUGGUUGCUAGCCAGAUUUGUUAACUGCUGAGCCACGACGGGAACUCCCAGACUAGGAAUUUCUAACAGUGUCACCCUGCUCUUCAAGAAUAUACCAUGCUGGUGAAUCAAUUCGUAUUUCAGUUCAGGGGGGUUGCGGUGGGGGAAGCUUCUUACAUCAUCCUGGGAACAUUUAAGCUGGGAAGAGUGUUGGGCUUCUCGUUGCCAUUCUGCCUUUUCCCCUUUUCCACUCUUCGUGUAGAGGAUGCACGUGGUCAUUUGAAUGCGCUGGAAUCGGGAGGCCUCCAACCAGCUCUGGACACAACCUACCCAAGUGGAUCUUUGGCGAUGGCUCUUGCUCCUAGGAAUGCAGGGGAGUUUCCAGAACCCACUGCGCAGGCCUGUAUGACGCAGGCUUCGUUCUUAUAUGAUCGUAUAAAGAUAAAUAAACAGCCUAAGGGUGCUUUCCCUUGCAGCGACCCAGAUAGAAGACGCAGGCCAUGUUCUAAAAGGUCGUGGGUCCCCACCUCCUGUCCAGAGCGGGAGUCCGUCACUGCUGCUCGGUGCUCCCUGGAAACUGGACAAAACGCAGGGGCCCAAAGUGCCCGUAUGCAGUUCCUGCCUCCAGAAGGUAGACUGAGUUGGCCUGGGUUGUGGCUGGGUGGGGGUGGGGGGUCAGAAUUACUUUAUUUUAUUUUCGUCUUUUUGCCUUUUCCAGGGCCGUUCUUGCGGCAUAUGGAGAGUCCCAGGCUAGGGGUCUAAUCGGAGCUGUAGCCACUGGCCUACACCAGAGCCACAGCAACUCGGGAUCUGAGCCAAGUCUGCAACCUACACCAGAGCUAAUGGCAGUGACGGAUCCUCAACCACUGAGCAAGGCCAGGGAUCGAACGCGCAACCUAAUGGUUCCUAGUUGGAUUCGUUAACCACUGAGCCACGAUGGGCACUCCUAUUUUACUUUUUAUUUUUAUAUAUUUUUACAGCCACACCCACUGCAUUAUGGAAGUUCCCGGGCUAAGAGUGGAAUCAGAGCGACAGCUGAGGCCUCCACCACAGCCACAGCCACACUGAAUCCGAGGCACGUAUGCGACCUACACGGCAGCUCAUGGCAACGCCAGAUCCUUAACCCACUGAGCGAGGCCAGGGAUCGAACCCAUGUCCUCAUGGAUACUAGUUGGGUUUGUUACCACCGAGCCACCAUGAGAACGCCAAGAAUCACUAUUUCCUGUUUGUGCUUCGGCCUGGGCCUGGGUCCCCAUCACCUGGAGGCUGACCCACUGCUGUGAGGCAGGAGAAGUGCACCUGCUGGGAGGCCAGCUGGGAGCCACGUGCCUGGGGUCUGGGCAGUGACUCCCUGUGCCACCACCUCCUCGAGGGUCCAAGCUUUAUUUCAGCAGGUGGAGUGGGUGCUGUGACCCCACCUGGAUGGUGCAGAGGUUCGUCUUUAAAUAGGGUCCUACAGUCCCCCAGACAAGUCUGCGUCUGCCAUGGCGCCGUGCAAGGAAAACACAAGUGUGCUCUGAGUCACCUGCGACCGUGCUCCUGUGCGCUGUUCGUUUGCAUGGUCGGGAGUUCGGUGUGUUCAGGUGCAGAGCAGCCGAAGGGUUUCUGGCUUUUUAAAAGACUGGCUCUCCUGCUCUGUCCGUAGCACCCCCAACUUCCCCGCACCACCUCAUUUUUUUCUCGUGGCCAGUGUAAAUUUGCAUCCACUGCCCGGCCCUUCUCCCAGCAGGGCUCUGACCCUGUGAGGGGCCUGAGUCAUCUGGUUGCCACGUGCUGGUGGGAAGAGCAGGUUCGCAGAGCGGACCGGCCAGCAGCAUCCUAUAAAGGAACUGCUGCUCCCAGACUGACCCUCUGGGAGCCAGGCUUGUGCAGGGACGUGCGGGUGGACGGGUUCUGGGAGGGGUGGCCACGUGGAGGUCGAGUUUACAGCUCGCUCGCUGGGUCACCAGCCAUAUGGCUUUGAGCAAAUGUCCUCCUGCGUGACACAAAGAGCGGUGCCAGGCUGGCCUCUGUCCAGGAAGGGACCCUUGGGAAGCUGGAGGGCUGGGAGGUGGGGCCCUCAAAGGAGUCGCCGAGUGUCCCUGCUGUUGAUGUAGCUUCCCUUCAAGGGGCAGCUUCUGAAUUACACACAGCUUCUGAAUGUGCCUGCAGAGGGUGGGGCGCUUGCGUGACAGCGUGACCCGAGCCAUGGGCUCACUUGGAGCAGGGUUGUUCCGUGUGGGCCGCAGGCGCUGGUGAUGUAAACCCACCUUUAAAUGCGGUGUCAUUGUGAGCCUCAGGGUUGUAGGAUUGCAGAGCUUAAAUCUGAAGUGCAGGGGAAUCCUUAUCGUGUCUGAACUUUCAGAGGGUGUCAUCGAUAGAAACGUUACCAUCCUGGAGUUCCCGCUGUGGUGCAGCAGAAACAAAUCCGACCAGGAGCCAUGGCGUUGUGGGUUUGAUUCCUGGGGUCGCUCAGUGGGUUAAGGAUCUGGCGUUGCCGUGAGCGGUGGUGUAAGUCGCAGACGUGGCUCAGAUCUGGCGUUGCUGUGGCUGUGGUGUAGGCCGGCGGCUGUAGCUGAUUACACCCCUAGCCUGGGAACCUCCACGUGCCGUGGGUGCAGCCCUAAAAAGACAAGAGACCAAAGAAAGAAAGAUUGCCAUCCUUAAAGCCUGUAGCAGGUUUCCCAAACCACCAGCCGUGAGAUUCCCCGGAUCACUCCGCCACCCCCCUUAACCUGAGUCUGAGUUGGUUGGGACCGUGAAUGUUGAUUGUCGGUGCUUGAAUUAAGCAUUCUUCUCAAACUCCAGAGUCUCUCGUGGUUAAGACUCAAGCUGUCACGCCCAGAGCCCUUGCUUGGCCCCGAGCCUCUGCAGGUGGAGCCCUUCAGAGCUCUCUGGCCCUGACCUGGGCAGGCGCACACAGCUCUGGCGCACAAGGUCCCUGUGUGCCCAGUGGCUGUAGGGCACACCCCGCCCGGUCCUUGCCCCCAGCCACCAUGGGUGCUGUCCUGCUGCUCGGUCUUGCCCAGAAGCCAGUUCCAGAAGAAGGGGGCUGGUUCUCAGGAGCUGCUGGUUUUCAGGGCUGCUUCCUUGCAUGAGUCUGAGGACACCCCUGGGUUGCAUGUCCUUGUGCAGCAGCCCCCGAGACUCCCCUGAGCAACCUGUGUCGACCAACAAUGAAAUACAGUGUCUUUGACCCUUGGAAAUAGAAGUGUACAGUUGGAGUUCCCACGGGGGCGCAAUGGGGUUGAUGGCGUCUGGGGGGCGCUGGGAAUGCAGGUUCUAUCCCCGGUCUGGCAGAGUGGGUUAAGGAUCCGGCAUUGCAGCAAGCUGUGGCCUAGGUUGAAACUGUGGCUGGGAUCUCAUCCCUGGCCUGGGAACUCCAUAUGCUGCAGGGGGACCAAAAAAUAAUAAUAAUACUGUACAGGUUAACAAUUCCGGUACUACUGCACAGAUCUCCUGGGCUUGA
rnacentral:lncRNA from 1 species